rnacentral:sRNA from 1 species
GCAGUAUGUAGGCCGGCUUGAUGCGGUAA